UCUGCAUACCUCAGAGAGAUGUACUCAGGCCUGAUGUAGCAAUGCAGCACACAGUAAUGGGAUCAGAUACCUUAAGGAGCCUGGAGCCUGAUUCUUAAUAUACCGUGCGAGGGCUGGACUGUGGAUGCUGUAAUUAGCAGCCAGUUCUCUGAUUUCAGCCAUAUGGCAAGGUGCUGUCACAGCAUCUUGAAGCCAGUGCACUCCAGGGAACAAGGAGGGAAGACGAAAAAAGGAUGAAGUAAUGUAUACCACUGCCAGGCCCAUGCCCACUUCACCUCUAUGCAUUGACAAAGGAGGAGCAGGAAGGAGGAGGAUAGGAGAGAGCGGCCUGAGGAUAAGAGACACUCUAUGCUCAUGAAAACCAAAUAGAUAUUGGGCACCUGCUCUUUCACUCAUGCGCAAUCAUACAAUGUCAUACAGUAGGUUGUAGCAGUCUAUAAAUCCAGCAGGCAGGAUCUACAUCAGAGCAGGGCCGGCCCGUCCUGUUCUGUGCAACUUGCAGCCUCACGGGGCCCCGCAGCCAAGGGGCCAUGCCCUGCUUGACCCCGCACCAUGUUUAAAGGGCUCGAUGCAGGCAGGGAGCCCCUUCCCGGCCGAGCGGUGGAGGAGUUUCUAGCUCUGCUCCUACCCUGACCCUGGUCCCGGUCCCAGGGAGGGAAGUCAGGCAUCCCCAGCACAUGCUGCCCCCACCUCGCAGCCCACGUGUGUGCAGCCCAGCCCCAACUAUUUCAAAGCAAGAGGACACACCUAGAACACUUGGUUCAAUUCUUGACACGGUUUUACUCAGGAACAUGUCGAUGAGCUUGAGGAGAUGCAGAGGAGGACAAGAAAACAGGGUGGAAGCCUCAGGCAGGACCAACUUCUGAGGCAGGAACAGAAGGCCUGAAGUGUUCGUGACUUUGCUAUGUAGGGUUUCUAAUAUGUAGCUGAAGGAUGUACACAUCAAGGAAGGAGAGGAAUAACUGGAGUGGAGCCCAUGGAGUAGAGCUAGAGGAAGUUGGUGAAGUGAAAAAAACCCGCAGGGGGAACGUCAAAGGAUCAAAGAGAGUCAGAGAGCAAAAGCCUCACGGAUGAUACCCCUCUGGCAAAGGGAAAGUGCCCUGACCUAGCAGCCAGGAGCUCCACAGACUGUUGUUAAUACUUCUCUACAAUUUAAAG